AAGGGAAACGACUUUGGACUCACGUAGGCAUAGGAGAACGAAACUUCUGUACAUUUUAAUCUGAAUAAUUCUUCAGGAUUUAACAUUAAUUGGCUCUGGCUUGGUUGGACCUUACUCGGAUCUCGCCACCUCUGCGUUUCCCGAGUCACUGGCGAAGAGGUCCCGGUUCCUCUGGGAAUCGUCCUGUAUGCAACAUCUUCACAAGGGUGGCAGGCAGUUGAAUCUCUGGACUUCGUGAGACCACUGGACAUUUGGCAGAGAACCAGGAAGCCACGGUUCCCUUCUGUGAGUCCCUCAGCCGGAAAACUACAAGCUCCUGAUGCAGCUGCUGUCUGCAGACCCCCUAGACUGCCUGGGGAAGUGAGUCGGAGCUCCUGCAGCAGAGGGGUGGAACAGCUACACGAAGAUCCGAAGGUGGCCAAAAAUAACAGCGCUUUCCAGAUGAGGGUAAUGUUAUAGCCAAGAUCAUCACUGGGGUAGGGUGUCUUGUUCUUUGUUUUACAACCUAAAAAGUACACAGAAGACUCAAAGAUCAUUCAGGAAGCAG
rnacentral:antisense_RNA from 1 species